rnacentral:rRNA from 1 species
GACGAACGCUGGCGGCGUGCUUAACACAUGCAAGUCGAACGGAAAGGCCUUUUCGGAGGUACUCGAGUGGCGAACGGGUGAGUAACACGUGGGUGAUCUGCCCUGCACUCUGGGAUAAGCCUGGGAAACUGGGUCUAAUACCGGAUAGGACCGCACUUUAGUGUGUGUGGUGGAAAGUUUUUUCGGUGUAGGAUGAGCCCGCGGCCUAUCAGCUUGUUGGUGGGGUAAUGGCCUACCAAGGCGGCGACGGGUAGCCGGACUGAGAGGUUGGUCGGCCACAUUGGGACUGAGAUACGGCCCAGACUCCUACGGGAGGCAGCAGUGGGGAAUAUUGCACAAGGGGCGCAAGCCUGAUGCAGCGACGCCGCGGGGGGGAUGACGGCCUUCGGGUUGUAAACUCCUUUCGCCAGGGACGAAGCGUUUUGUGACGGUACCUGGAGAAGAAGCACCGGCUAACUACGUG